AGCAGCCAUCUGAGGAGUGGCCAGUGAAGUUAUCACUAGGCUGUAAUGUAAACACUGCAUUUUCUCUGAAAAGACAGUGCUUACAGCAAAAAGCCUGAAGGGAAUGAUUCUACUCACCAGAACAAAUUCAAUAAGCUGUAGUUAUUCUGGUGACUAUCGUGUCCCUUUAAAUCAAGGCCACAGUUUGCUAAUUAAUACGCAUAUACAUCCAAG